rnacentral:rRNA from 1 species
GGGAAGCAUCAUUGAUAUAAUAAAGUGUCCCCCCCCCAGAGGGGCGGCAUUGCUGUUGGGGGGCUCCUCCAUUCACAACAAUACAACCACUGCUCCACCUGAAGAAGGGGGGGGGGGUUAUUGUUUCGGUCCUUCAUUUCCCCCAUUAGGGGGGAAAAACUUAAAAAAGGCGCCUGUUUUUGUUUUUUCCAACAAAGUCGUUUUAUUGUUUGGAAGAAUGUGCCUCUUUAAAGAAAACAAAGUAUAAAAACAUUUUUCAACAACUGUUUUGUUGCUUCUCGCAUGGAUGAAGAAGGCAGCGAAAGGCGAUAAAUAAGAUGAGCUGAAUACUUCAAUUAAUCAUCGAUUUUUUGACCCCCCCUGGCCCUCGUUGUUCUUCGGAGCAGCCUGCCUGGUGGGGCGUCAUUAAGUAAUCACCUCCCUUGUUUUUUUAAAUAAAAUCAUUCGAGUUGGAUUUGGAGGUUCUUCAUGCUGGUCCUCGCGGAUCGGCUCCUCUCAAAUGCAUUAGUUGAGCUUUCGCUUGAUGCAAUGGUGUUUGGUUUAUAAUCUCGUAACAAGGCAUACCAAUAGGCGGGGUUUGGAAGUUAAAGUCGUAACAAGGCUUAUCAAUAAGCGGAGGAU